UGGCAUCACUGACUCAGUGGACAUGAGUUUGGGUGGACUCCGGGAGUUGGUGAUGGACAGGGAGGCCUGGCGUGCUGCAGUUCAUGGGGUCACGAAGAGUUGGACAUGACUGAGUGACUGAACUGAAACUGGAAUGUGGCUCAAGUUGUCAAGAACGCCGGGUCAACAGGCAGUUCCGCUAAGUCUCUUAGGAUCCAUCUCCCAUGAUUCAAGAAGUGUAACCUGCCCGCUGAGAAUCUCCCCUGGACAGGAAUUUGCCAGCCAUGGGAUGGGGCCAUCUUGGAAGUGGAUCCUUCAGCCUUAGUCCAGCUGACAUCUAGUGGAGCAGAGAUGAAUUGUCCCCACCGGGCUCUGGCCAAAUGAUAGAUUGGUGAGUAAAAUAAUGAAUUGUUUUAAAGUAGUUAGUUUUGAAGUGAUUUGUUAUAUAGAAAUAUAGAUAACUGAACUAUUUCCCUUGAAUAGGAGCUGGCUGGCCAAUAAAAUGUUGAAGAGGUGAUGUUUAGCUUAUACC
rnacentral:lncRNA from 1 species